rnacentral:rRNA from 1 species
CGCAGCCGCGGUAAUUCCAGCUCCAAUAGCGUAUAUUAAAGUUGUUGCAGUUAAAAAGCUCGUAGUUGAAUUUCGGGAUUAGUACGCUGGUCGUGCCUUCGGUAUGUACUGGUGUUGCUGAUUCCUACCUUCUGACGAACCGUCAUGUCAUUCAUUUGGUGUGGCGGGGAAUCAGGACUGUUACUUUGAAAAAAUUAGAGUGUUUAAAGCAGGCUCGCGCUUGAAUACAUUAGCAUGGAAUAAUGAAAUAGGACGUUCGAUCCUAUUUUGUUGGUUUCUAGGAUUGACGUAAUGAUUAAUAGGGAUAGUUGGGGGCAUUAGUAUUCAAUUGUCAGAGGUGAAAUUCUUGGAUUUAUUGAAGACUAACUACUGCGAAAGCAUUUGCCAAGGAUGUUUUCAUUAAUCAAGAACGAAAGUUAGGGGAUCGAAGACGAUCAGAUACCGUCGUAG